UGGUUCUGGCAANGAUGAAGAACGCAGCGAAAUGCGAUAAGUAAUGUGAAUUGCAGAAUUCAGUGAAUCAUCGAAUCUUUGAACGCACAUUGCGCCCCCUGGCAUUCCGGGGGGCACGCCUGUUCGAGCGUCGUCAAAUCCAUCGAGCGCUGCUCGGCAUUGGGUCUCGCCGGCGGCGGGCCCGAAAAGCAGCGGCGCGGUCGCCGGGCAAGGGACGCAUUGAAGACUCCGUUCCCUGGUGCCCCGCGGCCGCCGCCGGAAGCACAUCUUCUAGAAUUGACCUCGGAUCAGGCGGGAUUACCCGCUGA
rnacentral:misc_RNA from 1 species